AUUUGUUACGACUUCAAUUUCAGUCAUGAAUCUACCGCAAACGCUCCCUUACGGUUAGCCACCAUUUCCUUACCCACUUCCAUGGUGCGAGGGCGUGUGGCGACCCGGGAACGCGAGUCCGCUCGCGGAGGCUGGAUCCGCGAUUACAGCGAUCUCCGACUUCACGCAAGCCGAGGGACUACGAUCGGUCGGGAUUAUUUCCUCGCGGGUUGGCGAUUCCUCGUAUGACGCGGGCCCCCGCCCAGGGCCGAGGACCUGACGUCAUAUCCCACUCCGGGCACGGCAAAGUCCCGCACAGAGUGCCCUUCGGGUCGACAAGGGCUGCGCCGCCGCGGGACUACCCUAACCCGGGUCACUGACUGGACGAAGGACUACGCCACGCAGCACCCGUAGUCCCGCCUUUACUAAAAACCAAAACCCUCCGGACUUCCAGAUGCCGCCGGCAGGUGGGGCGCCCGCGCCGCCGGUCCCCCGUCACCGACCGGAGUUCGGCGGACCCCGGCGACCGGGUACCUCCGGGCGGCGGCGCUGCGGGCACGCGCUUAACAGCUAAACCGGACACCGCGGCCCUAGGCGCCGGAUUACAGGGGCCCGCCGGUCCCGUUUAUUCCGUACGCGCCGCCGUCCCAGGGAGGGUUACGACCCCGGACCGGUACCUCCGUAACACGCAUUUCACCCGCUACACGCGGAAUCCCGGUUACACCCCCGUUCGGCAGUUCGUCGGUCCAAAGUUCGCUUCCGGGAUUUCUCACGGUACCCCGCUUUACGCCCAAGGGACUAACGGGGGACCGGGACCCGACGGGUUACGGACGGGGCCGCCGGCAUCGGGCCGCGGCGGCGUCCCGUCAGCCGCACGGGAUAAUACCCGGUAACCGCGACGGUACCUGCAGAAUAAGCACCGGCUAACUACGUGCCAGCAGCCGCGGUAAUACGUAGGGUGCAAGCGUUAAUCGGAAUUACUGGGCGUAAAGCGUGCAGGCGGUUCGGAAAGAAAGAUGUGAAAUCCCCAGAGCUUAACUUUUGAACUGCAUUCUUAACUACCGAGCUAGAGUGUCAGGAGGGUAUGGAAUUCGCGUGUAGCAGUGAAAUGCGUAGAUACGUGGAGGAACACCGAUGGCGAAGGCAGCCUCCUGGAUAACACUGACGCUCAUGCACGAAAGCGUGGGGAGCAAACAGAUUAGAUACCCUGGUGGUCCACGCCCUAAACGAUGUCAACUAGCUGUUGGGGCCUUCUGGCCUUGGUAGCGCAGCUAAUCGCAAAGCUGACCGCCUGGGGAGUACGGUCGCAAGAUUAAAACUCAAAGGAAUUGACGGGGACCCGCACAAGCGGUGGAUGAUGUGGAUUAAUUCGAUGCAACGCGAAAACCUUACCUGACUUCUGACAUGUCUGGAAUCCCGAAGAGAUUUGGGAGAUGCUCGCAAGAGAACCGAACACAGGUGCUGCAUGGCUGUCGUCAGCUCGUGUCGUGAGAUGUUGGGUUAAGUCCCGCAACGAGCGCAACCUUGUCAUUAGUUGCUACGAAAGGGCACUCUAUCGAGACUGCCGGUGACAAAACCGGAGGAAGUUGCGGGGAUGACGUCAAGUCCUCAUGGCCCUUAUGGGCAGGGCUUCACACGUCAUACAAUGGUCGUGACAGAGGGUCGCCAACCCGCGAGGGGGAGCCAAUCCCAGAAACCCGAUCGUAGUCCGGAUCGCAGUCUGCAACUCGACUGCGUGAAGUCGGAAUCGCUAGUAAUCGCGGAUCAGCAUGUCGCGGUGAAUACGUUCCCGGGUCUUGUACACACCGCCCGUCACACCAUGGAGUGGGUUUUACCAGAAGUAGUUAGCCCAACCGUAAGGAGGGCGAUUACCACGGUAGGAUUCAUGACUGGGGUGAAGUCGUAACAAGGUAA
rnacentral:misc_RNA from 1 species